CCUAAUACAUGCAAGUCGAGCGAACAGAUAAGGAGCUUGCUCCUUUGACGUUAGCGGCGGACGGGUGAGUAACACGUGGAUAACCUACCUAUAAGACUGGGAUAACUUCGGGAAACCGGAGCUAAUACCGGAUAAGAUUUUGAUCCGCAUGGUUCAAUAGUGAAAGACGGCCUUGCUGUCACUUAUAGAUGGAUCCGCGCCGUAUUAGCUAGUUGGUAAGGUAACGGCUUACCAAGGCAACGAUACGUAGCCGACCUGAGAGGGUGAUCGGCCACACUGGAACUGAGACACGGUCCAGACUCCUACGGGAGGCAGCAGUAGGGAAUCUUCCGCAAUGGGCGAAAGCCUGACGGAGCAACGCCGCGUGAGUGAUGAAGGUCUUCGGAUCGUAAAACUCUUUUA
rnacentral:rRNA from 1 species